AUACGGAGGAUGCAAGCGUUAUCCGGAUUUAUUGGGUUUAAAGGGUGCGUAGGCGGGACUGUAAGUCAGGGGUGAAAUACUGCAGCUUAACUGUAGCAUUGCCUUUGAAACUGCCGUUCUUGAGUACAGUUGAGGUAGGCGGAAUGUGGUGUGUAGCGGUGAAAUGCAUAGAUAUACCACAGAACGCCGAUUGCGAAGGCAGCUUACUAAGCUGUUACUGACGCUGAGGCACGAAAGCGUGGGGAUCAAACAGGAUUAGAUACCCUGGUAGUCCACGCUGUAAACGAUGAUUACUGGUUGUUAGCGAUAUAUAGCUAGUGACUGAGCUAAAGCAUUAAGUAAUCCACCUGGGGAGUACGUCGGCAACGAUGAAACUCAAAUGAAUUGACGGGG
rnacentral:rRNA from 1 species